AAAAAAGUGAAUGGAGAUUCCUGCCUGAAUUUAUUGGCCAUUCAAACUUAGCAAAAUUAUUCUGGUUGGCAAGAACUUUACAUUUUUCCCAACACCAAUGAAAUCUUGUUUCAAGAGCAUGCCCAACUACUUCUAAAAUCCAAAUCUUUAAUGCAACCAAAAAGCCUAAAUAUGCAUGUGGAGAAAUUAAGCAGAAAAUUGCUAAACUACCUACUUCCUGAAUUUUUAAAAUGAAGAAAAUAAACUCCUAAACAAUUUUCUUAUUAAAAU
rnacentral:misc_RNA from 1 species